rnacentral:lncRNA from 1 species
UGCCAUGUGCUUCUGGGAUCACAAGGAAGGGUGACGAAUCAACCAAAGGAAACUGCAGUCUCCUCGGUGUAAAGGGAGGAAGACCAGCCAAUCAGUGAUGGAAGAAUGGACGAAGCAGCUCCACAGAGGCAGCAGGCCUCUCCUCCUUAAAACAACGUUUCACUCCGUGUUCCUGAGUGUCUGGGAAACUGGUGGGGUAAGGAUUAAAGCGUGACGGACAUAGUUUCCUACUCAUAUUCUUUCAGUGGGUAUAAGGCACAAGUAAACCUGACCUGCCUGGCGAAUCUUACGUAGAGGCAGGUAAAAUCAUUUGCUGAGGAAGGACAGUCUCCAAAAGCACCAGUUUUACAACAUGAAUCAGAUCACGUCACCCCCUUGCUUAAAACCCUUCAUGGUGUAAUUGCUGUCCUCAGAAUAAAAUCCACCCUACCUCCCAGAGCCCACAAGCAUUGCCUGUCCUCUGCAACCACAUCUCUUGUGUUCUCAUUCUAACUCACUAAGUCUUGGUCAUCUUAAGCCAAACUCUUCCCCACUCAAACUCUUGUCUUGACCAUGGCUGGACAGUCUUCCUCCUGGACUUCAGAAGGCUGACUCAUUCCGGUGCUCCAGGUCUCAGUGCCAAUACCACCCAGUUAGAGAGGCCUUCCUGAUCCAUCCAUUCCCACCCGACCUCUCCCAUCCACCAUGCUGAUCUUCCCAGCACCGACCUCAGUGCACCUGUUUCUUGUUUACUGUCUGCCUUUAUCACAAAGCCAGGGGCACAACUAUCAUGUUCCUUGUGUCCACCACAGUGAGAGGCAACAGAAUAAUGUUAGGUAAAUAUUUGUUGGCUGGAUGAAUAGACAUGUUUGGAGGAAUGAAAGAAAAUGUGGUCAAGUACUUAUUUAAUCAAAGUAAUUUGUCACGAGACAUGUUUCUACAAUAUUUUCUUAGCCUCUUUGCUGAAAACUCUAUCUUGUCCUGCUUUACUUUACCCCAUCUUCCUGCUGGAAAAACAGUCGCAGUGACGGUGAAUGACUUAAGCUUAAGAACAAAGACCUAAAGGCAUAAGUUAUUCAUAGGGUCAGCUGAAUGAGGACUUAAUGCGUUGGUCCAGGUAUGCUGGACCUGUGCAGACUGGCACACUGUUUGCACAGCAUGAUAUGUCCUCUUAAGAAUAAAAGAGGAGCCCCAUAGCCCCAAGGGGUUUAUGAGGGGUCGUUAGCUGGAUAUGCAUUAGCAAAGAAGAACUGAGCUGCAAACCUAGGCACCCGGGUUGCUGCAGAUAGGCACGCUGGCUGCAGAAGCACAAUGGUGAUUCUCUAGAUGCUAUGCAUAGAUAGCUGAUGCCAAGCUUCCUCAAAUGCUAAUGAUUGUUAAAUGCCUAAAGGUCAAAAUAAAAGCUUAAUCAGCAACCGGCUAUAUGACUUUUAAAAUAACUUAAAAAAAAACCUAUAUCCUGCACCUACAACCCCCUUCUCACAUGACUUAAUCCUAAAAAACACAAUAAAAGCAGUGUGGUUUCUUCAGGUGGCACUCUUGGUCCCUGAGACCUUGAGUCCCCUGGUUCCCACCUUUACUUAAGAUAAAUGUCUCUGUGUCUUGUUUUAACUUUUUCCCCUAAUUUUCACAGCACCUGUUCUUCAGCCCCAUCCUGCUGAGCUGGUCUUGGCAGUAAUUCAUAAAGAUCUUUUAAAAAAUACUCAUGUCCUGUCCUCACCCACGUUUUAGGAGAGAGAAGCUAGGAAAGAGGAGGGCUAAAGCCUGGGUUUCCAGGUGUGUGAAGUUCUUGAUGAGGCUGAAAAAAAGGCCAACUGGUAGGAGCUUCACUGUAAAGAUUAAAGAAGCAGGUUCUUCAUUGCUUGCGUGGUACUUGCCAAGGGUUCCAAUGAACCCAUGAGGAGGUAAGAUAUAUUUAUACACUGAAUAUCCAUUUUGAGUUUACACAAAGGACUUCUCAGGUGACUGUGAGUAAGCCAUUUGGGUAAGUUUCUGUGCUCUUAAAUGAACCAUGUUUAUGGAGAGAAGUGAUGAGGCUUGUUAAUUUACAUUUGUAAAAACACUGAAAUCUCUGGAUGAAAGAAUUUCUGCAGAGAGGUACAAAGGAUGAGGUAACAUUUGGGGGUCAAAUUCUACCCUUUUGCAGAAGAGGAGAGGGAGGAGGCAGGCUCUAGGACUUACCAGGAGCCUCUGGCACAUUAUUUUUCAAGUCAAUCUUCUAAGAAAACUGCCUGUUUUCAAGUGUAUUCAUCACACAUACCAGUUACUAUACUAUUAACUAUUUUCCUUCUCUCCUAAAAUCCUAGCUUUGCGUAAAGGGAAUCUUGAGGGGGAUUUGCCUGUGAGGUUUUCCCUCUACAGUGCUUUUUUUCGUUUGUUCAUUUUUCACCCUACAUCAGUGAUAGCAGUUCCCAAGCAUGAGUCUUUGUUGCUGAGCUGAUUGGGACCCAAACAAGGUCAGUUCAUCAAUUCUUGACAGAUGUUUACAAGGUACAGUCAGAGAUUAGAGUAAGCUUAGGAGCGAGAAAAGAGAAAGAAUUUCAAAGAAAGCUGCCCGUCUGAGUUCAUUAUAUCCAUUUAUAGAAAACAGUAUUAGUAGUUACUCAAGAAUUAAUACCAAUAGGGUAGAACCUAUUCUUAGGAUAAUCAUCUCUUUCAGCAAGGUAAACACAGACUCAGAGAUAAGACAUUAACUGUGAAACUGCCAAGGCAAAAGCUAAGCUUAAAAAAAAAAAAAAAAGGCAACCACCUUUUCAAAAUGCCACAGAAAUUACACACUUGUGACUGCCCACAAGAACAUGUACCUUUCUUAUAUUUUUCUGGACCUAGUUUUGUUCUCUUUGGGUGGGAGGUGGGUAAUCCACACUCGAGUUACUUGCUCUCAAGAACAAGAAGGACUUACCUGCCUUCUACACCUUGCUCUCCUUGAAAGGAGACUGAGCUCCUUGUGAGUCCAGGCAAGCUAUGUGUCAUGGGAAAUGUGCCUUCAGAAGGUGGAAGGGCUUUCUGGUCCUUCUCUGUAGAUCAUUUCUCUGUGGGAUUUUUUUUUUUUAACAGCCGCACCUGUGGCAUAUGGAAGUUCCCAGCUCUAAAAAAAGCAAAAAAAAAAAAAAAAAAAAAAA